rnacentral:rRNA from 1 species
GACGAACGCUGGCGGCGUGCUUAACACAUGCAAGUCGAACGCUGAAGCCUGGCUUUUGUUGGGUGGAUGAGUGGCGAACGGGUGAGUAACACGUGAGUAACCUGCCCUCUUCUUUGGGAUAACGCCCGGAAACGGGUGCUAAUACUGGAUAUUCACUUGCCUUCGCAUGGGGGUGGGUGGAAAGGGUUUUUUCUGGUGGGGGAUGGGCUCGCGGCCUAUCAGCUUGUUGGUGGGGUGAUGGCUUACCAAGGCUUUGACGGGUAGCCGGCCUGAGAGGGUGACCGGUCACAUUGGGACUGAGAUACGGCCCAGACUCCUACGGGAGGCAGCAGUGGGGAAUAUUGCACAAUGGGCGCAAGCCUGAUGCAGCGACGCCGCGUGAGGGAUGGAGGCCUUCGGGUUGUGAACCUCUUUCGCUCAUGGUCAAGCCGCAACUCAUGGUUGUGGUGAGGGUAGUGGGUAAAGAAGCGCCGGCUAACUACGUGCCAGCAGCCGCGGUAAUACGUAGGGCGCGAGCGUUGUCCGGAAUUAUUGGGCGUAAAGGGCUUGUAGGCGGUUGCUCGCGUCUGCCGUGAAAUCCUCUGGCUUAACUGGGGGCGUGCGGUGGGUACGGGCUGGCUUGAGUGCGGUAGGGGAGACUGGAACUCCUGGUGUAGCGGUGGAAUGCGCAGAUAUCAGGAAGAACACCGGUGGCGAAGGCGGGUCUCUGGGCCGUUACUGACGCUGAGGNNCGAAAGCGUGGGGAGCGAACAGG